UUGUGUUCAGAUCUUCAUGAGUUUGUGUGUUUGUGUACUGCAGUGAUGAGGAGCUGGAGGACUAUAAGGCUCUGCUGUACCUGCCCAUUGCCCCUGAGGUGGAGGACCCUGAGGAAAACCCCUUCGGCCCCCCGCCGGAGUCUGCGGCUCAGACCGGGGCCCCGGAGGAGACGCUGACUGCCGGCGACAAGAAGCAACGACAACCGUCAUCUGAAGGCCCAGCCAAGAAGAAGGCGCGCACCACCACCAUUGAACUGCAGGGGGUGCCCAGUGACGAGGUGCACCCCCUGCUGGGAGUGAAGGGCGACGGCAAGUCCAAGAAGAAGACAGCAGGCCGGCCCAAAGGCUCCAAAGGGAGUCUGCUCUCACAGUCGUACAAACAACACGAUAUUGGAGGGAUGGACUGAUCACUGUUAGUGAAGCAGCCACCAACAGACUCAAACAAAGAGACAAAGCCUGAUGUCAUAAAACAGACUGUGAGCGAGCAGUUUGACAUGCAGACUGUUUUCUCUCCAAACCAGGGCUCACUUCACAGAAAAACUCCUGAGCCCGGAUCUCUUGACAGGAGCCGUCAAAGAGAGCGUGAAGCAGUGGAGGCACUGUGAAAUGUCCUCUGUCUAUGUAGGGUUCAUCAUGUAUAGAUCACGUGCGUCCUGAUAGUGUGUGUGUCAUCUUUCUUGUUGUUUUUAUACGUAUUAAAACAUUUUGAUUUGUAAAUAA